UGCCGCGGCUGGUCCCCGUGGCGGUCGGUGGGGCGGGUCGGGUCGUCGAGAUCUCACGCAGGCAGGAGGACGACGCGGUGUCCCGCCACGUUACCCGUCUUGCCCCUACCUGCCUAGCGGUGGGGGAAUGUAACGAAGAUACUGCAAUCUGCUGCUCCGUUUUUGCGAUCUGAUCAAUGUGUGCAAGGAUCUAAAGGGAAGGUGUUAAGAGGAUGGGGCCAGACCCUUCUCACUGGUGCCCAGCAACAGGACAAGCGGCAACGGGCACAAACUGAAACACAGGAAGUUCCGUCUGAACACGAGGAAAAACUUCUUUCCUGUGAGGGUGGCUGAACACUGGACCAGGUAGCCCAGAGAGGUGGUGGAGUCUCCUUCCCUGGAGAUAAUCAAAACCCGCCUGGACGCGAUGCUGGACAACGUGCUCGAGGUGACCCUGCUUGAGCAGGGGGGUUGGACUAGGUGAUCUCCAGAGGUCCCUCCCGACCUCAACCAUUCUGUGAUUCUGUGAUUUUGCCAAUGGAAAGAUCUUGUGCACUGGAGCAGUUUCCCUUGGCCAUUUAUUGGUUUUUUUUUUUUUCAGUCUACCUUGUAGACUAGAGAAGAUGGCCUGUUACCAGUAUUUCACACGUUUACGUUUCUUGUUUCAGCAUGCCUUUUAAUAGUGUAUCCUUGAAGCAUGCUCAAGCUCAGAUCACUUAAUGCUUGCAGAGACUGGCAAAGUAAUCCUUUGUGUGAAGUGUGCACAUAUACGGCAUCCACAACAUACCAUUUUGCCAUAACAAUGGGUUACAUACUGAUACUGAUCCAGCAUAGAAUGAAGCUGGUGGGGAGAUCCCCCUCUCCCUCAGGAAGAGCAGGUGGGCUGGGAAACUGAAGUUAACGAAGAUGGACAGAAGGAGAAGGAUGCUUGUCUUCAUGUAACCCUCCAAAACUCUACAAAACUCUAUUGAGUAAUUGUCCAGAAGGCUGAAUCGUAUCACAAUACUUCAUGGUACUGUAAUGCUGGUUGGUAUCAGGUAUCAUGAAAGGCUCAAAUAAUAUCCUCCAUCUCUACUUUGCAGACCAGAUAUGCAAAAGCUCCUGGGACAAGUUAAGUACAGCUCUAUGCCUUCUCCUAUAUUAUGCAUUCAUAGAGAUUAAUAUCAAAGUGAGUUGAAAUAUUCUAACAACAUUCAACAGGAUUGAAUGCUAUUAAUAACACUAUGGUCUUGUACAAUACUUUUUUCAGAACUGCUCCAAUUGUUUUAGGAGAGAUCGGUAGGAAGUCAUGCAAGAAAGUUAUGAUAGCAACAAGAAAAGAUUUAAGUUCCCUGAUGUCAAAGACUGCGUCCUAAGCGUGCAAAUUAAUGCUGAGUAUCAUACUAGCUGCUGUCCAAAAUGGGCUCAGUGUCCCUUUUAAUAUUUAACUUAUAUGAAGGAAUUGUGUCAGAAGGUCUUUUGGUCUUACUUGUACGGGCAAAACCAAACCAUAUAUAGAAAGGUAUCAUGGAGGACCUGCCUAUGCAAUUAGUUUUACCUUAUUCAAGAACUUGUUAGAACAUGCUACUAUGCUGACUGUGUUAUAACAUGCUGCCUUAGGUGUUGCCUUAGGUUGAAACACAUUUUCCUAUCAGCACAUAUGUUACUGUGUAGCAGUACCAAACAAAUAAACAAAGGAAUUUAAAACA
ensembl:lncRNA